rnacentral:rRNA from 1 species
CCCGUAGAUGUUCUGGGCUGCACGCGCGCUACACUGAUGCGUUCAACGAGUUUAUGACCUUGCCCGAUAGGGUUGGGUAAUCUUUUUAAAUCGCAUCGUGAUGGGGAUAGAUUAUUGCAAUUAUUAAUCUUCAACGAGGAAUUCCUAGUAAGCGCGAGUCAUCAGCUCGUGCUGAUUACGUCCCUGCCCUUUGUACACACCGCCCGUCGCUCCUACCGAUUGAAUGGUCCGGUGAAAUCUCGGGACGGCGGCUUGGUCGCUUGCGUCCGACUGCUGAAACUUGAUUAAACCAUAUCAUUUAGAGGAAGGUGAAGUCGUAACA